rnacentral:lncRNA from 1 species
GGCACACAUCUUUAAUCCCAGCUCUUAGGAGGCAGAGGCUGGAGGAUCUCUGUGAGUUCAAGGCCAGCCUAGUAGUCUACAUAGUGUGUUCCAGGACAACCCUGUAUUGAAAAACAAAAGAAGGGCGUGUGUGUGUGUGUGUGUGUGUGUGUGUGUGUGUGUGUGUGUGUUGUCUUAAUUUGGGUUUUCCUGCUGUGAACAGACUCCAUGACCAAGGCAAUUCUUAUAAGUCAAUAUUUAAUUGGGGCUGAGUUUAGUUCAUUCUCAUCAUGACAGGAAGCACAGCAGCACCCAUGGUGCUGGAGGAGCUUAGAGUUCUUCAUCUUCUACCAAAGGAAGCUAGGAGCACUCUCCUCAGGCACCUCGGAGGAAGGUCUCAAAGCCCACCCCCACAGUGACGCACUUCCUCCAACAAGGUCACACCUUCUCCAAGGCCAUACCUCCUAACAGUGCCACUCCCUGGGCCAAGCAUAUUCAAGCCACCACAGGGGGGUUAUUAAUUAUUGUGAGGUUUUAAUAUCAACUGUUGAGAAAGAAUUCUAACUCUCCUUAAUGAUUUCCUUAAUAGAACUGAUUAAGGAAAACUAUCCAAUGGCAGGACUCAGGGCUGGGUAGUGCUGCAUCAGAAGAUGGAUUGGCUGUGUUGACACAGUGGGGGCCUACACUGGAAAGUUUUCUGUCAGCUUGACACAGGCUAAAAUCAUCUGAGAAGGGAGCCUUAAUUAAGGAAUUGCCUGAAGAUCAGAGUGUACUAAGCCUGUAGGGCAUGUUCUUAAUUAAUAGUCCAUGGGGGAUGGCCAGCCCACUGUGGGUGGGGCCAUCCCUGGGCUGGUGGUCCUGGGCUCUAUAAGAAAGCAGACUGAGCAAGCCAUGAGGAGCAAGCCAGUUAACAACACCCCUCCAUGGCCUCUGCAUCAGCCCCUGUCUCCGGGAUCCUGCCCUGUUUGAGUUCCUGUCCUGACUUCCUUCGGUGAUUUACUACAAUGUGGAAGUCUAAGCCAAGUGAACCCUUCCUCUCCAAGUUGCUUUUGGUCAUGGAGUUUCAUCACAGCAAUAGUAACCUGACGAAGACAGAGCCCGGCUUGUAGUCUUCUCUAUACGUGUACACACUGCCCUCUGGUUUCUCAGCCUGUGCCAUUUGCUUCUUGUAUUUUUUUUUUUUACAGACAAUGAGUCCUUGUUGUCUUAAACCUUUCUGAUGUAGCUAUGAGGUGAUGUGUUUUUCUCUUAUUUCUGUGGAAGGUGUUAAAUAUCUGUUACAUAGCUUCUGAUAAGGAUGUCCAAAUGCUGGUUAUUGUCCCGAUCAUGGACGUGUCGCUCUUUGACAGAACCAGAAUGUGUUGACCGUUAGAUUUCUAUGGUUGUGGUAUGGAUUCUACUUUGAAGAUGGAAAUGAUGAUGGCUAAUUAAUAAUGAGUCUUAGUGAUGUGUAUACUGCAGGGGUACUUUCUCUGGAGCUAGCCAAUAGUACCAGAGAGCUGCAGCCUAGACUUCAGUAGCUGUCCUGGGAAGUCUUCAUUUCACAGUGUCUUUCUGAAUGAAGCCAGUGCUUGCUUCUCCCAACCACGCAGGCAUCAAGAUGAGAAGUUACAUGUUCUCACAGACCUUCAUGUCUUUUUAAAUCAGACUUCU